rnacentral:lncRNA from 1 species
UGCAAUUGUGGGCAGGGCACUCUAUUUAAGCUCCUGCUGAGAAAUGCAAAUACAUUGAGCAGAUGUAUUGCUAUCCCAAGUCUCUGAAAAAGUCUCUGAAAAUUUCUGAAAGGUCAGUCUGUAAGCCAUUUUGGAAGGAGGUUUGUGAUGAACAGUCUCUUUGAAUCACUGGAACAUUACUUUGCGUUUGUACCUAUGCAGAUUAUUUAUUUUAACAAGAAUUGUGUGCAGUGUUGUACCAAAAUAUGGGCAUAAAAUUAUAUUGUUGCAUAGUGUGUAGCCUCAGUUAAAAUAUAUCAAGUAAAACGUACCUAGAACUAUAAUAUGACCUUUAAAGUGUAUAAGUAUACAGCAGGGAUGGAAACAUCCAAUUCCAUAUAACUAUUUCAAGGAUUUUCUGUUAGGUGUCGUUUUCAGUCUGUGUGUUACUAUUUAAGCAGUAUAUUUUCCAAGUAUUUCUAAUGUAUUAAAAAAUAAAAAAUGUUGAACAAGAGAGCUUUUUGCCACCAUGUUAAGCUGCAACCCUUUGCAUGGCAGUUACAACUGAGUAUAAAACUACGCAAGCCAAAAAUGCAGACCAGUGGAAAGCAUGUCCAAAAUACUAAUUACAGUGUAUUUAUGAUUUUUUUUUUCCCUCCACACAGUGAAGGAGAGUAUGGACUUCGAGCUUACUACUGGAAUACAUUCUGGGCACCACAAGACAUUGUUGAUUCUCUUAAAAAGUUAACCUCAUUGGAACAAAAAGAAAUCAGUAGUAAACAAUUCCCUCACAUGUUCAGUACUUCUGGGGAGGAAGAUUUUGAUCUUGUUACAAUGGAGCUUUUUGGUAACAAUUUUCAGAUUCCACAGAAUAUGAUGCGAUGCUAAAAUCAGCGGUAUCCUUUGACCUGUAUGCCAAGCCAGGUAACAACAGAUCUCUAACUCUGAUGAAUCCCAAGAAGUCUUUUUAUCAAUGGAGGUUGCGAGUUCCUUCUAACUAUGUGGUGAGACUGGUAGUUACCACUUUGCAUGGUGUCGCUCCAGAGAACUGUGCAUCACACCGCUUAUCUGCAUAUGAUUUCCUUCUUCCUCUACAGAACAAGAUCAUCGCAAGGUAUGGUAGUACAGGACAAAGAUGUUUUUUGAGCUGUACAGAAAUUCUCUGAAACUGCAGAGUUUAAAAUUGAUGUUAAGCAGGCUUCCAAAACGUAAAAGCCUCCAAGUACAGCUUAAUUAAAAAUCUGUAAUAAGGUAAUCAAAAGAUCUUCCAUAUUAUCCACCCCCUAAUGACUUAUAACUCCAGCAUUUUUUUUUACAUUCUGACUGUUUUUUUUACAGUGUUUGAUUUCAUACAAUUAUUGAUACAAAGGUACUUUUUUUGUUAUUUUUUCUGUUACUUUCAGAAAAUACGUCCAGUCACAGGCAAACCUCUGUUGAAAACAGGCUUUUAUCUACAGAAGACUUCAUCCCCAAAGUCCCUUUGUAGUUCACUCACAUAAAUGAUAUCAGAUGAUCUUGUAAUCUUCAGCUACCACUGUUACUAUUCUUCCAGAGACUAAUUUUAUGAUUUUAAGUAUGGACGUUAUCCGCCAUGAAUCUGCCUUCAUUAAUAAAAUAAACUAACAAGUUUUAGAAUCUGAAAAU